rnacentral:lncRNA from 1 species
CACAAUAUUUUUAUUCAAAUGAUAGAAUUUCUUUCGAUCCAUAUUAUUUGCAAUAUGCAAUUUUUAAUCCGAGGAAAUCCUCGAUCGAAUAAUAGAUCAAGGCAAAACCUCGUUGGAGGGAAAAACCCUAACCAAAAAAGUUAGGGUGAAAAAACCCUCCAUGAGCCUGCUCAAGGGGAGGCUCAAUCGAUUUCUUUACCCACAACCCGGGUCUGGUAAAGGAAAAAAAAAGAAAGAAAAGCUCACAGCCCGAGCUAGGCCCUUACUUGAUGCUCCAUC